UACGUAGGGUGCAAGCGUUGUCCGGAAUCAUUGGGCGUAAAGCGCGUGUAGGCGGCUUGGUAAGUCUGCUCUGAAAGCCCGGGGCUCAACCCCGGGAGGCGGGUGGAUACUGUCAAGCUCGAGUCCGGAAGAGGAGUGUGGAAUUCCUGGUGUAGCGGUGAAAUGCGUAGAUAUGACAUAGAACACCAAUUGCGAAGGCAGCUGGCUACACGAAUAUUGACACUGAUGCACGAAAGCGUGGGGAUCAAACAGG
rnacentral:rRNA from 1 species